UACGGGGGGGGCAAGUGUUGUUCGGAAUUACUGGGCGUAAAGGGCUCGUAGGCGGCCAACUAAGUCAGACGUGAAAUCCCUCGGCUUAACCGGGGAACUGCGUCUGAUACUGGAUGGCUUGAGUUUGGGAGAGGGAUGCGGAAUUCCAGGUGUAGCGGUGAAAUGCGUAGAUAUCUGGAGGAACACCGGUGGCGAAGGCGGCAUCCUGGACCGACAUUGACGCUGAGGCGCGAAAGCCAGGGGAGCAAACGGG
rnacentral:rRNA from 1 species